GCAGUUCUAGCAAAGGCGCAGAUCAUAGAAAGAAGCUUCGACACCCACCCUCAGCUAGCGGGGAGUUCCUGACCCUCAGCCCCGCUCUGCAGGCCAGCACCUACCGCGCCUGUCCAACCCAGUAAGAGGCCCAUACCCGCUAUCCAGGCCCCUCCUCAGGCUACGGGGGCAGCACGUGGGAAGAUCUGCCAGCACUGCGGCAGGGAUCACGGGGACCGACCCUGCUACUGCCUCAGCAACACCUGUCGUAUAUGCGGCAGUGCCCAGCACUAUGCAAGGGAAUGCCCGAGGAACCAGAAUCAAAGAAGGCCUCCAAUUCAGGACAGAGUUUAUAACCUUACCCAGAAGGAUGCCGACGCAGACCCAGACGUGGUACAUGGUAUGUAUACUAUAUCUGGCCACAUUGCUCAUGUUUUGUUUGACA
rnacentral:lncRNA from 1 species